rnacentral:rRNA from 1 species
AUUGAACGCUGGCGGAAUGCUUUACACAUGCAAGUCGAGCGGCAGCGCGGGCGAGGGUAACCUUGUCUGGCGGCGAGCGGCGAACGGGUGAGUAAUGUAUCGGAACGUACCCCGUCGUGGGGGAUAACACAUCGAAAGGUGUGCUAAUACCGCAUACGACCUGAGGGUGAAAGCGGGGGAUCGCAAGACCUCGCGCGAUGGGAGCGGCCGAUAUCGGAUUAGCUAGUGGUGAGGUAAAGGCUCACCAAGGCGACGAUCCGUAGCGGGUCUGAGAGGACGACCCGCCACACUGGAACUGAGACACGGUCCAGACUCCUACGGGAGGCAGCAGUGGGGAAUUUGGACAAGUGGGGGCAACCCUGACGAAGCAACGCCGCGGUGGGGAUGAAGGUCUUCGGAUUGUAAACCCCUGUCGACUGGGACGAAUGUAGAACGGCCUAAUACGCCGAGCUAUUGACUGUACCGGUGGAGGAAGCCACGGCUAACUCUGU